AUAUUAUUCUAUCAAUAUGAAUCGUGGUUAAUACCUGUCAAAAGAAAGAAAAAAAAAACAAAACAACGCUUCUUAAACAACCUCGCCAUAACCUCUCCAUAGCUUCUUGAACAACCAUAGCACACCAUCCCUACAACCACCAGUCCCCAUAAUCCAAAUUCUUCCAUCACAAUUCCACCUUUGCUUUCGUAAAAUUCAUAAUCAGGACUCUCACAUUGUUUAAUUCGUCAAUUUGUGAUUCAUUCGUCAAUUCUUUUCGCUAUAAUCAGGGUUCUCACCAAGCAUCUCCUCCUCAACCUUCGGCCAAAAGCCCAAACACCCCUCCCUCUUCUCCUACAACUCCAAAACCCAUGGCAGCCCAAGAUAUUUAUUUUUCCUUCCACCAUCAAUUCACGUUCUUCGAAUUCGACGAGCAGAGAAGAAAAGGAUUUCACCUUUUUCGACUAUACCGGAUAUCUGGAUCUUUCCAGGCUUCUUGUCGCAUAGACUCCCCAGAAGAUGCUGCUCUCUUAAUAGAUGCCAACACAAAACUCAAGCUAGGAACUGGUAUACUAAUUGCAGUUCCUAUUCCGAAAGAACAUUCUGCUUCUGGAAGCUUUGUUGAAUCUGCAAUACAGAGAGCCUUCUCAAAAAAUUUCUCAAUUAUAAUUAAGUUAAAUCUGCCAUGUAUUGCAGCUUCAUUAUGUGCCCAUUUGUCAGUCAUAUUAACUUUCAUCGAUCAAAUUUAUCUAUUAAACAGGUAAAAUCUGCAACAGGUUGCCCAGAUGAUACGCUGUUUGCAGAUGAUAUACUCAUGUGUUAUCCAACUUUAAAGGGUGCAAGGGUCUGGAAGAGAGAGCAUGACCUAAUACUAUUGCGAGCAGUGUUAAAUACUUUUUUGGGAUUCCUAACACUUAUUCGCAAGAGAUGAUUGACGAGCUAAGAAAUACGUGGGUGAAAUAUUUAAAUAAUCAAACACGAGACGAUGGAGAUUGAAGACGAUGGUCAAGUUUCAAUCGUACAUAUUAUUUGCUCUAGAUUAGAAUUUUAAUUUUCAUAGAUAUCAUUGAAUUAUAGAAAUUUUUUUUUUAAGACAUUAAUUAUUGGAAUAUAUUGAUGCUUUAACUAGUGAAAUUGAUUUUGUAUGUAAAUUAAAUGUAGAAAAUAUUUUUUACAUUAUUAAUAAAGCAAGCAGGAAUUUUUGUU